rnacentral:tRNA from 1 species
UCCCUGGCAGUUCAGUGGUUAGAGCUCUGCACUUCUACUGCAGGGGCCAUGGAUUUGAUCCCUGGUCAGGGAA